rnacentral:lncRNA from 1 species
CAGCUUUUGUCUCUGCCCCGGUCCCGGUGGUUCCCUUGGGCAUGCGUGCCCAAGUUCAGACUCCAUCCCCUCCCCCUGCCCUUUCUCCUCUGCGCUUCUGGCUGCGCCGAGCCGGGAACCCUAAGCUCUGGGAACUUCCCCGGUGGCGGCCGUCUUAGGGUCAGAGCAUGCUCAGUGGCCCGGACUUUUCGGUUGCAGAAGGAGCUGGCGGGGAUGGUCGAGGACUUGUACUAAGAAGAAUCCUAUGGCACCUGUCAAGUUAAAUGUCACUCCCCGCCUCCACUUGGACUUUCUGCUUAAGACCUGCAUGUGACUUUUCACCUGCGAUCCACGCUUUUGGUAUCUACUGACUUUGAUUACAGGAAAG